GCUUGUCUCAAAGAUUAAGCCAUGCAUGUCUAAGUGUAAAUAAGUCUAUACUGUGAAACUGCGAAUGGCUCAUUAAAUCAGUUAUAGUUUAUUUGAUGGUACUUACUUACUCGGAUAACCGUAGUAAUUCUAGAGCUAAUACAUGCAUCAAACCCCGACUUCUGGAAGGGGUGUAUUUAUUAGAUGGAAACCAAUGCAGGGCAACCUGGAAUAUGGUGAUUCAUAAUAACUCGCGGAUCGGUUUACCGAUGCAUCAUUCAAGUUUCUGCCCUAUCAGCUUUGGAUGGUAGGGUAUUGGCCUACCAUGGCUUUAACGGGUAACGGAGAAUUAGGGUUCGAUUCCGGAGAGGGAGCCUGAGAAAUGGCUACCACAUCCAAGGAAGGCAGCAGG
rnacentral:rRNA from 1 species